AGUGAACGCUGGCGGUAGGCCUAACACAUGCAAGUCGAACGGCAGCACAGUAAGAGCUUGCUCUUACGGUGGCGAGUGGCGGACGGGUGAGGAAUACAUCGGAAUCUACUUUUUCGUGGGGGAUAACGUAGGGAAACUUACGCUAAUACCACAUACGACCUACGGGUGAAAGCAGGGGAUCUUCGUACCUUGCGCGAUUGAAUGAGCCGAUGUCGGAUUAGCUAGUUGGCGGGGUAAAGGCCCACCAAGGCGACGAUCCGUAGCUGGUCUGAGAGGAUGAUCAGCCACACUGGAACUGAGACACGGUCCAGACUCCUACGGGAGGCAGCAGUGGGGAAUAUUGGACAAUGGGCGCAAGCCUGAUCCAGCCAUACCGCGUGGGUGAAGAAGGCCUUCGGGUUGUAAAGCCCUUUUGUUGGGAAAGAAAAGCAGCAGGUUAAUACCCCGCUGUUCUGACGGUACCCAAAGAAUAAGCACCGGCUAACUUCGUG
rnacentral:rRNA from 1 species